UCACAAUGAAAGUCCAGUUAGCAGACUAGCUGACUGAGGCAAUUGUGGGGAAGAAAACUACUCCCCACUAGCAGAAAACUGCUACUUGCACCAAGAGUCCAGGAAUUAACAUCUUCAGUUAUGUUUUUCUCUCCAAUUCCCCCAUCACCAAGAGUAAGCCAGCUCUGUCUGUCGAGAUGCCCAGGCUGUGUGGCAGUGGUGUCAAAGGCUGCCACUUGCUCCAAGGCACUGCCAUCUGCAACAGCACAACAUUUUGACUCCGGAAAGUAAACACAUCUGCCUUUGCCAGUGUCCUCCCACUGUGCCACCCAUCUGGAGCAGAAACACACCAAAAAACGCCUAGUGGUGUUCUGGAAGCUUCUUGCCACUUCUAGGCUUCUGCUAAUUGGCUGAGCCUCGUGGUUUCUUCUGGAUUGAACUGCUGUUGCUGACUUGCUAAUGGUACUAGCGAGUUGAUCAAGUUGCUUGGUGCCUGUUGUGGGGGCCUCCUCUACAGCUACUCAGCUGCUGCCUUGACAGAUGAGUCAAUAUGCAUCUCAAAAACUGGGUAAAGUUGUGUUGAUUGUCACUUAAGUUCAAACUUUCCAAAUGCAACCCCAGCUUCAAGGCAAAUGAAUAACAAUGGCAAAGAUCUA